rnacentral:lncRNA from 1 species
GAAUGAGAUGUAUUAUCUUAUAUCUGAAAUAUUAAAAAGGAAGCCUGGAGGGGAGGUAUAGGAAUUAUAUACCUAAGAUAGGACCUUUUAUCCCGGUAAUUUUGGGCUAUAACUUUGUAUAUAGUCCCUCUGCACCAGCUAUCACCUUUCCAUUCCCAUAUCCACAUGCACAUAGACAUAGAGGUACAGAUGGGAUUUAUGCUCAGCAUGAGGGAUAAGAAGGCUUAAACCACUAGGGUUCUUCUGAGUUGGGCAAAAAUAUACAAUAUUCUUUAGAUGAAAAUAGUCUUUAGUGAAGAAGAAAAAAGUCGUUAGCAUUUCUCUAUAAUAAACAGUUAUAAUCCCUUUACUGGGCUAUAAAACUUUGUGCAAAGAAAAUAAAACAGUAUGAUUAUAUAUUUAAGAAGACAAAAUUGUGUUCCAGCUCUACCUGGUAGAAUCUGGAUAAAAAGCAAUCGGAACAUUUUAAAAAUUGCCCUACAGCUUCUGUCUGAUGCAGAGCAAAACUAUGACCGUUUGAAUGUUUAGCGACAUCUGGCCAAGAAGAGUAAGCUGGAAACACACUCUGUCUUCCAUGGCAUGUUUUUGAGAUGGAGCUAAGCAGCAAUUUUUAAGCACAAGAUAGCAAAUGAGUGUUUCAUGUUAGACAGAAUAUUUUAUUCUUUGUUUUGCAGGGCUGCAAACCAUUGACUACAUUCCCUGGAAUUCUUCGACCUACAUUUCAGCCAAAUACUGUGCUUGAACAUUGUUCACAAAUUCAAAUACCUGCAGUGGGUCCAACUGGAGAGGGCUGGAGAGCUAGACGGCACAGUGCCCAACUACAGAAGAGGACAACCAUUACUCAACCACUUCCUGAGUUCCAGCUGAGGCCGGGCAGAAUUGAUGGCCUAUUAUGGGAAAGUCCUCUUAUUUUUGAAUAGAUGCUGAAAAUGCAUAUGUGACGUGGUGUGUGUGUGUGUGUGAACAUUCAUGUGUGUGUGUGCACGGGGAUGUGAGGGAGAGAGUGAGGGGACAGGAAAAGGAAAAUAAGAAGGAAGGGAGGGAGGAGGAGCUGGAGGAAGGAAGGGAGAACUGUAGAAUUUUAAUAUAAUUAAUAAAAAUUUGUGUUCAGGUCA